CCUACGGGUGGCAGCAGUGAGGAAUAUUGGUCAAUGGGCGAGAGCCUGAACCAGCCAAGUCGCGUGAGGGAGUACUGCCCUAUGGGUUGUAAACCUCUUUUGUCGGGGAGCAAAAGCCGGACGUGUCCGGCUGUGAGAGUACCCGAAGAAAAAGCAUCGGCUAACUCCGUGCCAGCAGCCGCGGUAAUACGGAGGAUGCGAGCGUUUUCCGGAUUUAUUGGGUUUAACGGGUGCGCAGGCGGAUUUUUAAGUCAGCGGGAAAAUGGUGGGGCUAAACCCGAGCCAGCCGUGGAAACUGGGGAUCUAGAGUGUGCGGAAGGGAGGCGGAAUGCGGGGUGUAGCGGUGAAAUGCAUAGAUAUCACGCAGAACCCCGAUGGCGAAGGCAGCAUGCCGGUGCAUAACUGACGCUCAGGCACGAAAGCGUGGGUAUCGAACAGGAUUAGAUACCCGAGUAGUC
rnacentral:rRNA from 1 species